rnacentral:misc_RNA from 1 species
GUAAACCACCAAAUUGCAAUAAAAUCUAGGGAACUUAAGGUGAAUAGCAGGAUAAGCCCCUGAUGCUGUGACUAUCAAUAAACCAACCAUAAAGAAGAGAUUUUUGGGUCAGAAACUCAAGUUUCUGAGUUGGGUUUCUCUUAAUCAUGGUUGAACGUUGUCUUAUGGCUUCUCAUGGUUAUCCUCCGUGGCUUUUUUCACCUCCUGAAUUGAGGGUUUUAAAGGAUAGUCUUCCUUUUUUUCCUAGUCCUGGAGUGAAUCAAGAUAUUGUGAAGUCAAGU